UAAUGACAUCAUAAUUAUGUUACAUUCAAAUUUAAAUAAUAAUAAUAAUAAUAAUAAUAAUAAUAAUAAUAAUAAUAAUAGUAAUAGUGUUACAUUUGAAUAAAAGGAUCCAAGUGGAUAAAAUCUUAGGCAACUCUGCCCAGGCUCCCUCCUUCCCAGUGGAUAAGUGGCACUGAGAGCCCCAGGCCAAAUGGGAACAUCAGGUGGAAUUUAAGGGGUCUCUCAUUCUUCCUAUUUUAACCCAAGGCUCCAAGGAAGGAGCUGCUUCACAGCUCUGUAUUUUCCCCAUUUUUCUAUUUAGGGAUGAUUGCUCCACACAGCAUUGUAACUUCCAUGCCAUGGGCUGUUUUGUUCUCGCUCCUUUUUUUCCUCCCAGAACAUACGAUGCAGGUUCUGCUUGUGGACUGUUUUAAUAGCAAGGUGGCUGAGACAAAGUUUACUCAAUAAACUUGCUUUUCCCCUUGAGCAGCUUUAGCUUAGAUAAACGGGCUUUAAAGUCCCGGCCUAGCGUGGGACUAGGAAUGUUUACCAUUCAUCAUUGUUAGUUAAUUGCUGUUUGCUUAAAUAUUUAGUUUGGAUUAAGUUCUUUUAUUCCCUUUUCUUAAAAAAUAAUAAAUAAAGGUGUGUUUAGCCAUGUGGUAAAAGGCUUUUAAAAGACACUGCAGGGGGGAAGCUCCAUAAAGUUCUUUUUUUAUAUUUUGCAUUUACAUUUUCUUAUUUUUAUUCUGCUGUGUUAUAUUUGUUAUUAGCCAGGCUGAAGCAGCAAGGACAAGGACAUUCCGCUGCUUUCUGUAGAGGCUGCAGACAGUUUUAUUCCUUAUUUCAAAGAGAAAAACCCCACUGAAUCAUGGAAUAUCCUGAGCUGGAAGGGACCCACGGGACCAUCAGCUCCUGCUCCUGGCUCUGCAGGGACAGCCCCAAAUGCAGUUUCCAGCCUGGGUUAAAGCCACCAAACCCAGCUGGGGGCCUGCAGCUGGAUUGUGUUCCGUGGAAGAGGACAGGGGAAGGCAGUUUGGGCAGGGGCAGUUUUGGGAAGGGCACCGAGGAGGAUUCCCAGCCCUGUGAGGUGUUAGUGAGCAGCAGGGUGAGGAGCUGAGUGCCAGGGCCAGCUCCCAGGUGCUGCUCCCUGUGCAGGACAACGAGCAGCAGAAAGUGAUGGGGACGGGCUGGGGGAGGCCUGGCAGGGAGCAGGGCCCGCUGAAAAAGGCCUUUUUUGGUUCAAACCGCCGUGUUCCACAGCAGCAGUGACCCAGUCCUUACGUAAGCAAGGGUUUAAUUUUGGAACUUUAAUGUUUCGCGGCUUAGGUUUCCUCUGCUGGUUCUCACGCAGGGCCAGGCUGACAGAACGCUUCUCCCUCCCGUUAUCAGUCACCAAAGGCAUGUCCUGUGCCCUGCUCGAGGCCCAGCUCAGGAAUAUUUGGUUUUGGGAUAGUUCUGUGCCCCAGCACGGCUCUGUCAGCCUGGGGCAGGGUUUGUAAGGUGCCCUCAGCCCGGGUGGCUGCUCUGAGCUCUGCCCUGCCCAGGGAGGACCAAAGGCUGUUGGAUUUUUUUCUGUGUCCUCACAGUAAAAGUGCCACAGGUGUCCCCUGGGAGGGGACAGCUCUGCCUGUCCCCUGCUGCCAAAGGCAGCGCUGGUUUCUCACCUGCAGCCCAGCCCUCCAGCCUGGACUGCUCUGUUCCAAACCAGCAGAGAACUCAGGAACAGGAGGUGAAUUCCACUAGAAGUGCUUUGAAGGAAGGAGUUUCCAUGGGGAUGGGGGCUGGCUGGGUUUAUUUCAGGUCCUUAGGAGGCAGCAGGUCCUUCUCAGAUGAACCUGUGUGCUCUCCAUCCACGACUUCUGCCUUUUCUUCCCCCUGGGCUGUGCUGGCUCUGGUGGUUCCCUCGCUGCCAUCCUCUCCUGUCAUGGAAUGACUGCAGCUCCAGACUGGAACCAUCCCUGGACCAUUCUGAGCGUCCCCUCCCAGUGCCAGCGGGAUGGAUUUCCCUGUCUUGUGUCUGUGAAAAGGAUUUAGAGAAAGGUUUGGGCUGGGGGCCAUCAAAGGGACUUUAAAACUUAUCUCAUUCCACCCCUGCCAUGGGAUAUCCAAAAUAUCUUAAAAAAUGACAAUUAGGGAAAAAAAUAGAAAAGUUCAUUCUCUAAUUGAGCUUUGUUUGCAAAAUAAUUCCAGGCCACGAAGAGUAAUCAACUCAUGCAUAAAAACAAGGCUUUAGGAUCAAUUUUCAUUUUAUUACUGGUAGCUUGGAUUUUAGAAGUUACUGGUGGUUUUCAAAUGAUUUUUGCUAUGGAAGUACAAAACACCUGUCCUAAAUUUGUGAGCUCUUUUUUAAUGAAAGGCUAGGGAGAGAAAUGAUCAAGAAAACACAUUUUUAAAAAAAUAAAUCUUGGCAGUUUGAGGCCAAAACAGCUGUGAAAGGAUCCUCGCCUUGCCCCCUCUUUUUUCCAAGUAUUUUAAAAGAUAAUAGCUUAGAACUCCUUAUUUUUAGAAGCCUCCAGAAGGCUCAGCUGAGACCCAGAGGCCACCGUGGCUCAGCGCUGUACAAGCAAAUUAUUUAGGCCAGUUUAUCCCCGGCCAAAAUAAUUCACAAUCCCAGUUUCCAGGCUGAGACGAGAGGCAGGGAGAGAGCUCAGGCAGCGCUGCCAGCACCAAGCCCAGCAGGAACAGCAGAACACCCCGGCCAGCCAAGCUGAUGAAUAUGAUAAUCCCAAAUAUGAUAAUUUUCGGUAAUAAAAAGCACUUCAGGAUGGAUUUUUUUUUUUUUUAAUAAAUGGUGUGCGUGCGAGGCGCCGGCUCUGGGCGUUCCCUGGCAGCCGGAGCUGCUCCGUGCGCGUCUGGCGGCUCCGAGCGCCCGCGGGUGCCGCGCGGGGCUGCAGCUCUCCCGUGAAUCACUCUUGCAGUGUGGGUUUUUUUUUUUUGUUUUAUUGGUCUGCUUGCUGUUCCAUUUGUGAUUUUGCAAUCCCCUUAUGCCACUCCAUACCGAGUUUUAAAGCCCCACCUUCCCAAUUGUCAAUCCCGCCUAUCCCUGCCCUUUUCCCCCUGAAUCCCCCUUGCUCCUCCCUCCCACUGGGUGUUAAUCCUCCCCCGAACCUGCCCUUUCUUCUGGAGAAUUCCCUAUUUUAUGUCCUUUGGGACCCUAUUACCCAAGUUAUUCCCCUCCCUAGUGCUCCUUUAUUGGUUCAAGAGUAAAAUACCCUGCCUCCAACCCCUCCCCAACCAUACCCCUAUUGGUUUGCUACCCUAAACCCCUUCUCCCGAGCGAGGCAUGAAAGCUCUUGUUAGCCCCAAGUCUGGGUCUUGGGUGCUGAUCAUGAACCCCAAGUCUCACGCCGAGACCCGUGCUGCUGCCUUUUGUUCCUGCGCCGAGCCACCGCUGGUAGCUGGGAUUCUGCAGAGCUUGCAAGGGGGAUCCUGUCGCGCCCCAGUUGUCACAAAGUUGUGACAAAGUCCUCACCGUGACACCUGGUGCCCAACGUGAGGCUUGAGAACAUCAACGGCACAUUUCCCAAUCCCUGCAAAAGCAGCGGCUCCAGGCAGGCACAGCCACGGGCAGGGAUGUGCCCUCCCAGCCACGUGGUUGUCUUCGAGGGUCCCAGGACGAGGAAGAGAUGAGAAUCUUGACUCCAUCUUUUCAGAAGGCUGAUUUAUUAUGAUAUUAUAUGAUAUUAAAAAUGCUAUGCUAAAAGAAUAGAUAAAAUGAUACAGACAGAAAGCUGGAAAGGAAAAUGGAAUGGAAUGGAAUGGAAUGGAAUGGAAUGGAAUGGAAUGGAAUGAUAACAAAAGCUCGUGACUCUCCGAGAGUCCGAGACAGCUGGACCAUGGCUGGUCAUUAAGUAGAAACAACCCACAUGGACCCAUCAAAGAUGCACCUGUUGCAUUCCACAGCAGCAGAUAAUUGUUGUUUUUUCUUUUCCUCUGUGGCUUCUCAGCUUCUCAGGAGAAAAAAUCCUAGCAAAGGGAUUUUUCAUAAAAUAUCACAGCGACACAUCCGCAGGGAUCUCCCAGCCAGGCCCCAGGCUCAGCUCACCUGGCAGAGCUGAUGCCAGGAGCAGGGGGCACAGGGACAGGCAUGCUCCUGGCCACGGGCUGCUGCUGGCCCAGCAAUGCCAAACCAGCUGCUCAGGAAUGCCCAAACAGGGUGCAGCUCCAGGCAGCUGGGAGGUGACAGCAGGAGGGACAGCCAGGACUGAGGGACAGCCAGAAACUCUGCUCUGGCACCAGCUGAGCUCCAGGAGACUGGCUCCGUGGGACUUCUCUUGGGGAAGCAAACAGGGCUGUGCAGGGGAAUUUCUGCCCUGCAGCCCACGGGUACCAACUGCUCUGCACUGAGUCUUUCUCAUUUAAAUAAAAACAAAACAAAAAAAAAGCCAAAUCCUGGAUCUGCAUUUCAGUGCAAAGGGUGAUUGAGCCCCAAAAGUGUAAACUGAAAUCUUUUCUGAUCAGUUCUAAGCAGAAAUACUGCUGCUCCUCAGUGCAUCCAAACCCUUAUCCCCACUCAGAGCUGCCUGCCAGCCUGGACACGAUCCUGCCUCUCUCAGGGCUGGGUCCUGGCAUUCACCAUGGCUUCGAUUUUUACAUAAAACAUCCCAUCAGGCUCAGAUGAACAUAAAAUUUAAUCCAUGCUGUUCCCCCUGUACUUGCAGUAGUUCCUCAGGAAAAUCCAAGAUAUUAAAAUGUGAUUUCUGCCACAGAAACUAAAAGAAACCCCAGAGCAUUCACUCCUGGUUUCUGAUUAAACAAAACUAAGUUGUUACAGCUGAAGGGAUUCAUUUUCUGACUAACUAUUUAAAUUGGUAAUUAAUAUCCAUCCCUUUGGUGGGGAAAGAGUUAUUUGCCAGAAUUUCCCAGGCUGGAUGGGACAAAUAAACUUACCAGAGUUUGGAAAACAGAGGCUUAAAUCUGUUUAUUUCCCACUAAACAUUUUGCAACGCCGCUGACGAGAAGCAGUCAGAGAAGCAGUCAGAGGAGGAAAUCCAUCCAGCCGGGAUUUCCGCGGGGUUUAACCAGAGCCUGGCAUGCAGGAGGAGCCCAGGGCUCGGUCUUUAGGCGGAGAGGCCGCGGGAGCCGCAGCCGUGCCCGGCAGAGCUCGGCUCACCGGCAGAGCAGCUCGGCAGGAGCGGAGCUGAGCGCUGGGCAGCUGGAGCUGCAGCCAAGGCCGGCAGGGGGGACACUGCUGCCACUGCCACUGUCACUGCCACUGCCACCCUCCGAGCCCCCGGGUUCUGCAAGGACGGGCACCGAGUGCCCCCGGCCCCGCUGCGGCCAGCUGGGCACCGAGCCCCUCUCCAGUCACAGCGCCCUGUGCCCACGGGGAACGGGGACCUGGGCACAGCAGAAGUGUGGCUGUAAUUGGGAUUAAUCUAUUUUUAGCAGGCUGUCUGCUGCCCUGUCCACGCUCCAGCUGAGAUGUUUAAUUCUGUCCAGCUUGACUCUUUCUGCAGUGGCACCCAGGACUGAUUUUUCUUUCCUUAUAAACCUUGAAUUUAUUUGGGUUGGUUUUUUUUUUUUUUUUUUUUUUCCAAUUCAUUGUUAUUCCUUGUUUUGUUUUUUUUUGUUUUUUUUUUUUUAAUCUUUUUUUCCUCCUAUCUACAAUAACUGGAAAAUCCAGCACUGAAGUAAUACAAACGUUGCUGUAUUAAAAUUAAAAAAAAAAGUUAUACAACAUUUACUAUCAUUAUUAUUCAUUUUACUAUGGAGUUUGGAAACCUCGUCAUAGAACAGGAAUGUGUUGUACCCUGUGCUGCACAAACAGUACAGAAGGAAAAUUGCCUCUUCCAAGCUAUAUUGGAUAAAAACACGCAGUGAUACCAAAAGGAUUUUGGUUAAACAGCAGCAGGACAAGAUGUUAAAGCCAUCUCUGAGCACCUCACCAUUUACUGACCCCGCACUUAAAUACCUGCCGUGCGUAUCUUUAACCUUUUAUGAGGUAUUUGGAAAGGGAACUUCGAGAUUAGACUUGGGAAAACACCCUGGAACACAGUUGGACCGACAUCAAGAGCCUGCUCCGGCUCGGGAAUGUUUGCCUUUCCCAAAUCCUCCUGGCCCGUGCGAGAGCGGGACCCGCUGCCCAGGGAGCGGAACCUUCAGCAGAGCAGCCAGAGCGGCUCUUUGGGCUUCUCCUGGCGAUUGGGAAGAUGCUCCGCAGGGAAAACCAGGGUUCAGUGCUGAAAGCUGCCCUGCAAACCCAGCCCGGGGCCGGUUCUGUGGGGUUUGGACCCUGCUGGGUUUGGAUCCUGCUGGGUUUGGAUCCUACAGGGCUUGGAUCCUGCUGGGUUUGGACCCUGCUGGGUUCGGACCCUGCUGGUUUUGGAUCCUGCUCGGUUUGGUCCCUGCCCCGUUCGGACCCUGUCCUGUUCGGACCCUGCCCGGUUCGGACCCUGCUGGGUUUGGAUCCUGCUCGGUUCGGAUCCUGUCUUGUUCGGACCCUGCUGGGUUUGGAUCCUGCUCGGUUUGGUCCCUGCCCCGUUCGGACCCUGUCCUGUUCGGACCCUGCCCGGUUCGGACCCUGCUGGGUUUGGAUCCUGCUCGGUUUGGUCCCUGUCCGGCCCGGACCCUGCCCGCCCCCGGGCCGGGGUGACUCACGGAGCCGCGGGUGCUGAGCGGGAGCGCGGCUAUUUCCGUGCUCCCCCUGCAAUCCCUGCUCCUCCGGCUGCGCUGUCAGGCACCUCAGCACCCCCGCCGCCUCUAUUCUUAGCAGCUAAUAGCUGAAAUAAUUCCUUUUGUCUCCGCGCUGUUGGCUCCUUGCAUCGGGAGGCAGCGAGAGCUGCCCCCACAGCCGCUGCCAGCGCUGGGAGGGCGGCCGGGGGUCCCGGGGGUGGGGGCGGUGUCCUUGUGCCCACCGGGAAUUCUGCUGUGGGCUGAGCAUCCCAAACACCCCGGCCCCGAGUCCCACACCGGCCCCGAAGCGGUGCUUGGAAGCGGCUGGGAUGUUAACGCGGUGCCACCUCUUUGAAAAGGAUCCUGGCACUUCCAGCUGGGUUUCUUAGACUUCACCGGGAAAAUUCCAGGUUUUCAGAGGGAGGGCCAGGUUUUCACCUGCGGGCUCCCAUUUCAGUGCCUGCUCUGUGCCGUGGGCUGGGUUCGCACCGAGAAUGCAAAAGCUCCAUGCAAAUGUGACUCCCCAGUGCCAGCACAGCCGUGCCAACACAUCCCCGACAGCGCCCGGGAGCGAGCCCACACCUCUGGCAGGGCUGGCUUUCGAUCCCAGCACCAGCUGUUCCACACAAUUCCCUUGAAGCACCUCCCGAGGGGCACCGUGAACCCCCCGCCCCGCUCUCUGUGGGGCUGUCAGCCGUGCACACCCAAACAGACGCAUGGAAUCGGCUUUGAAACUUUGGGAAGGGGUUUGUUGCUCUUUAUCUGCCUGCUGCUCUUCCUCCUGCUGCUUGGGACCCCAGGGAGAGCAGCAGAGUGUUCCAAAUGGAACAGGGUGCCCAGAGCAGCUGUGGCUGUCCCUGGAUCCCUGGAGGUGUCCAAGGCCAGGCUGGAUGGGGCUUGGAGCAGCCUGGGAUGGUGGAAGGUGUCCCUGCCCAUGGCAGGGGGGGCACUGGAUGAGCUUUAAGGUCCCUUCCAACCCAAACCAUUCUGUGAUUCUGCUGGGCUGGUAAAGAAAGGACCCACUGGCCAUUUCUCUGGAAUUCACUAUGGAAAACAAUAAACCUUUUGGAAAAAAAACGAAACCUGAAUGUUUGUUGUGACUCUGUCCCUCACUGAGGCUGUUUGUAAGCAUGAGGUAUCACUGGCAAAUCCAACAAGAGCUACCCCACAUCAGCACUUGAAAAACCGACCAUUCUGCAUUUUACAGCAGCUUUUAAGCCUCUGGGUUGGUAAAGGGAAGAAACUUUUCCACUGCCCUGUCCACCUUUGCCCGAUUCCUUGCUCCUUCCGUUUGUGCCCAGCCACUCCCGCGGGGAUGUGCCAAGCCUCCCCUUCCGUGGCUGCGAGGUCGAGGGGUUACACAUUUACAGCUGCCCAGACUUGCUCCGGCCCGGGCAGGAAUUCACUUGGCAUAAACGAGGCCUUUGGAUUAUUUAUCUCAGCCUUUCAGUUAAACAGGAACAUGCCCUGAUUUUAACAAUCGUGCUUCCUGCGCUGGGGGAAGGUGUGGCCGAUGGCAUUUAAACCCAAACCCGAGCCAAGGCUUCCCCGGCAGGAAGCUGGAAGUGCGGGCAGGACCACGAGGGUUUCCUUCAGCACUCAAAACACCCCAGCAGCAAUAAUGAUGUGCAUAAGGGGGAGAUGUGGGGAGUGUCAGACUCCAUUUGUUGUUGCUAUCAAGGUCAUCGCAGCGUGGCAGCAGAAAAUCGCACGGGAGACGCCGGAGAACUGAGGAUGAACCUUCAGGUACAGCCUGGCACAGAAGCAGGGCAAGCCCAAACUUCCUCUGGAAGAUGAGGAAUCCCUCCUUGAUCCUUUCAUGGUGCUGAGGGAACUGUCAGUGACAGUCUGGAGAGUCAAUCCUCUCCCUCCCUCCUCAAAAAAUGGUAUUUUCCCCAAACAUCCAGCCCGAACCACCCCAGUUGCAAGUCCUGAAAUCUUGUUAGAAUGUUCAGCACUAUAAAAACUCUCUAUUUUAUUAAUCAGCACUCAGGGCCCAGCUGUGAUCAGCCAUGGGGUCACUCCCAGUUUUGGAAGAGAUUCCUACCCUGCCAUUCUGAUGGUGACACUGAUCUCCCCUGUCUCACACCACAGCCAUGGAUUAUUCCCAUUUUCCAAGCCUCCUUUCUAGCCCAGGACUUUGCACCCUCAUAGGCAGUUCUUACAAAACCAAAGCUCUGCCUCCUACUUUUAAAGUCUGUAAGGAAAAGAAAAAAAAAGCUAAAAAAAAACCCAACCCAAACCAGUAGCUACACAUGGAAAUGGGCUCCAGUUAAACCAGAAAAGCAGCCUAGAUUUUUAUAGUGGAAUGUCGAAGAUGUUCAAACGCUGAAUCCUGCCCAAGAGUGUCAGAAAAUGACUUUAUGCUUUUAGGCCUCAUCACUCCGAUCUGAGGGCUGAAGUUUUCCACUGCCCCAAGAUUCCUGACACAGCUGAUUGUUCCCCAGUGCAGCUCACAGCUCUGAGCUCUUCUUGGGAGCCACCAGCAAGCACCUAGAGCCAGGCAAAGACAGAAACACUCCAGGGCUGGUGAUUUUCAAAGGAAAGCAAACCAUAAAAUAAACACUGCAUUUCUCCUGAAAGCAACCAGAAAGAGUCAUUUGGGAUAAAACAAAGUUGGUUUCACCUUCCUGACACACCACAGGCCUGACAAAAGCGGUGUGAGCCGCAAGCACCAGCCAACUGCCCCGUUUCUGAGGCUCCCAGCUUUCAUCUGGCUCGGGUGUUUCAUCUUGCUCUGUCACAUCUGGAGCUCCCUGGAUCUCGAGGUGGGCUCUGCCCGCCUGCACAGCACGGUGCAAACCACCAGGGAGAAGUGGGAACACAGAAAAUCCGCCCUGGCCCUGCGUGCUGGGGCUCCUGAGAGAAUGGGGGUGACUGGAAGCAGCACAGGCAGCUCCAGCCUCAGCAAAGCCCGGCCUGCUUGGGGGGAUGACUCAUUUCAGGAGCCUGUGCUCGCUCCCAGUCAUUAAGGAAGGAGUUAAUCCCUGCAGCUUUGGCCACAAAGUGGAUGUGUAAGGCCUGGAGUCCCAUGGGCUCGAUUGCAUAAGAAACCAUGUAUUGUGGCAUUUAGUUGAUCAUGCACUACUUCUUCUGGUCACAUGGAGGCUUGAUUUCCCCUUGCAUCAGCUACUACAGACUUUUUACAGUUCCCAUACUGGUGUCUGUUCAGCUCACCGGGGUCAUCCCCUUCACCCCACAGCACAGCCCGUGCUGCUCACCCAGCCCUGACCCACGGGAUCUCACCCCAUUUUUUGUAGGAUCCUAUCAGAGGAACCGGGCACUUGUAAUUUUCCUCAUUUGUGUCUGUGCGUAACAGGUGUCAUUUUCAGUGUAGUACAGACAAAUCCCAAAAUAGCUCAGGCUCUUCAGACGCUGCGAGGAGAAAAAAACCCGUGGUUACUUCAGCUUUGGUUGUAGUGAAAAACCCAACGCUCGCAGCCGGCUCUGAAGUCAGAAUUAAAAUGGCAGACGGAGGAGUGGAGCAGGGAUCUCUCUGCAUUCCGUGGUUCCUGACGGACUGCUCCUCGCUGCUCUGUGUGUGCACAUCAACUCCCUCUCAGUGCUGCCUCUCCAUCAGCUUCCCUGAUUCCCAGGAGCUGCACCUACCACGGAUCCUCCUCCACACUUCCCGGGGCUGGCAGAGCUCUGCUUCCCCUGCCGGGUGCCGGGGCUGGCCGGAGGCACCGGAGUUAUUCCAGGGAUUUGGGGGGCAGAGGCAAGGAGAGAGAGUGCAGCUGCAAAAGGCUCCUUGCCUGGGGAUGAUGCCUGCUGUGCUGAAAGGCAGAGCUGCCUGUGGCCUGUCUUUGUUGGGGAUUAUUGGAUUCUGUGGAUUCUGGUGACUCCAGGAGCGCAGUUAUUAGUUCCCCUGCCCACGCCGAGCGUUUUGAAUCUGUGUGUGUGAUAACACUUAUUAAUGCUGCUCAGAUUAAGAAGAUCCUGUGGCUUUCCAGCACUUUCAGCACCUUAUCUCACGCCACACAUCUCCCCAGCAGCUAAACCACGCUCAGAUCAGUGUCUUGUGGCCAGCAGAGCAGGGGUUUGUGGGGCCAGCAGUAGCCUCAUGCCCAGAAGUCCUGCAUUUGUUCACAGCAGCAGCUCCUCUUAAGCUGCCUUGUGCUUCAGGGGAUCUGCCUGCUGAGGAUUUGCAGGACAUGGGCCUAAAAUAUUUCGUUUCAGGAAGUCAAGCAGUAGUUCCUGUCACCGAAACAGUUAAUCAGAAAGCACCAACUCUCUGCUGCAACGUGUGUGUGCGUGCACGUGUUUUUGUUUUUUAGAGCCAGCAAGAUUUGCUUUGGUUUUUUUAAAGCAGAAAACACCAAAAAAGUUGGCUGUGGUUUCAGCUGCUAUCGCUCGAGAUUUGUACUGCUGACUACCAAUCCUAAAAGAGUUAACCUGGCAAGUAUGACUCAGAAGCAGAGAAGGAGAUGCGAGGCUGAGAGCCGGGGAGGAAGCGCAGAAAGAGAGGUGAGGAACAGAAUAAUUGCCAAAAAAAGGUGCAGAGCCCAGGAGCGACGUUCCCUCCGGUCUGCCUGGCCCUGGCACCGCUGGCACGGGCUCCCUGGAAAGCUGCAGUUCCGCUCUUAUAACACAAGGAGCAGGCUGGAGAAUUUAGAGCUGCGUCACAGAGCUCAGCGAGAGAGUGAGAGAGCAAGCUCCGUCGAUAGGUCUACCAGCAACAGCCCUGCUGCAGCAAGAGGGGAGAGAGGCAGCAAGAGAGGCAGAGAGGGCUCCAGGAAGAGAAGUGGCACCAACACCACGGACUGGGCUCCUGCCACCAUCCACUGCCAUUUGCACCUCGUACUCGGGUUCGCAUGGCGUAGGAGGCUUCGCCCAUUGACGAUGCUGGAGACCCGGCGCGCUUAAUCCCACGGGGAGGGAGAGUGGGCAGACACCGAAAGGGUUAACGGGAAGGAAAUUUCUGGAACCUUCUCUUCUGCGGCGCUCCAGAGCGAGCGGAGGGCUGAGGACUGCGCAGAUGGUGCACGGGCACGGCUCCUCGGUCCGGUUCGUCUCCCUCACCGCCCCGCAAUGAAGAUGGCAGCUCUGCCUGGAAGUGCUGAGGACACAGCCAGCCUUGAGCUUGGUCCUUCUGGCCGAGGAAGUCCCCCGAUUAUGCAGUGGAGUGGUACGGUGGAGAUGAAGGAUUUUCUCCCUCAGCCUGCAGCCAUGCACAAGAUGUGUCUUCCUCUGGAAGCUGGUUUCACAUGGUGGCUUAGAUUUUCCCACUUUGUAUCUAGCACCAUUUGAAAUCAGUGUUCUAGGAGCAAGAAUUACAGCGUGGGAGGAGACCGAGCACCUGCUCACUUCAACAACAUCCUCUGCUCCUCAAAUCAGCCCCUUUUCCAAAGGUUAUUUUUUUUACCAGCCAUCCACUUUGUAACAUCAUCUGAUUUCUGAACACUCCAACCACUGUAUGCACCCUCCCAAGCCAGGGCCACAGCAGCACAGCCUCCUGCUCGUGUACUUCUGCUCAAUAAACAAUGGAUAUGAGUUCAAGGUGUCCAGAGUACAGUGAUCCGCAAGUUGCAUGAAAACCAACGUGGUAUCUCUUGUACCUUGACAGGCAGAGUAUGUUUGAUACCCAAAAACUAGGAUCAACCUCGAAUUUACUGCCUCAGAGCAAAAGGAUUCCCACCCUCUGCUUGGGGGCUCCAUCACCACGGGAUUCUCAUUCCAUAGCUCUGCAAACACAGAAAUUCCCCCCAAUAAUUUCACCUCAGCAGUCAGACACAAGUGCCUUCAGCAAUCCCAGACUGGCUUGGGUUGGAAAGGACCUUAAAGAUCAUCCUGUUCCACCCCCUGCCACGGGCAUCACAAGAUGCCACACAGCACACACAGAACCCACUCCUUUUUCCAGAGUCACUUUCCAGCACACACAGAACCCACUCCUUUUUCCAGAGUCACUUUCCAGCACACACAGAACCAACUCCUUUUUCCAGAAUCACUUUCCAGCACACACAGAACCCACUCCUUUUUCCAGAGUCAUUUUCCAGCACACACAGAACCCACUCCUUUUUCUAGAAUAAUUGUCCAGUUUGCUGCUGGUACCUCCCAGCAAUAUUUCACUUCUCCAACCCUGCAUCCCAACCUAGAAUCAAGCUGAACUUUUUUUUUUUUUUUGCCCUCCCUGCUGCCCAGCGUGUUCCCAGACAUGGAAAAGCUGAUCCCUGUGUGGAUGAAGGUUUGAUCAGAGCACUGAGUAGUCAUCUCUAAAGAAUGCAUAGCUGUCAUCUCCAAGAGGAUCCUUCUCUGAGCCAGGAAAACGUCUCUUACACAGGCUGACCGAUUUCUCUUGGUGUUCAGAGUCUCAGUUUUUGUCUAGCACCAUUUGAAAUCGGUUAUGAUGUAGGGGGAAAAGCAACAGUAAUGGGAAACUUCCUUCCCUCACCCCCCAGGUCACAAACAAACACCAUCCAGAGCACCACCUGGCCUCCCCAACACCACUGGCUUGUGUUCUCUGAGCUGAAGUUCCCCCCACAGGCUGAACAUCCUGCACACAAGGAGGACAGUCAGCAUCCCCUUCACGUGAGGAUGGGAUGCUUCCAGACAGAGAGAAGCAUCUCUUCAAACAUAACUCAGCUUCUUCAACUCAGGCAAGCCAGGGCCUGGGUGUGACAACACAGUCACCCAACCUUCUGACCAUUUCUACUCCAUGUGCUGUUUGUUUGCCUUAACCUGUUCUUUACACAGAUUAUUUUUUUUUCCUUUUAAAUAAAAUUGUGUGCUCUAUGCUCCUGGGCUCUGUCUCAGGUAGAGAGAUCACCUGAUUCCCUGCUGGACAACACCUAAG